rnacentral:lncRNA from 1 species
ACUCAUUCUCUCUCCUGCUACCUUGUGAAGAGGUGCCUUCCACCAUGAUUGUAAGUUUCCUGAGGCUUCCCCAGUCAUGUGGAACUAAAUUAGUUGAUAACGUCUUCCAGGAGACCUACGGCCAUCCUACUGAUAUGAACCAGAUCAUACCUGCCCUGAUGGGAUGCCAGAGAAAGACUGCUGCAAGGUACGCGCCACUCACAGACCUCUCCAUUUAUCUCACUGAUGCAAAGGACCCUGAGUAGGGAUCCUCUGGAAACAGAACAGAGGGAAGAAGAUACCUUCCCUGAAGCCCAGAUGUUCCAGAAGCCUGCGCCUCAUUCACAAAGUCACCCCAAAAAUGCCCUAGAGUUUGGAGUUUUGAAGAAGCGGGAAGAAGGCCUGAGUAAGGGCCUGGGAACCAAGUUAGAUCCUACUUCAGCAUCAGCACAUGCCAGCGAUGGUGCACACAGGUGGAGAGCGGCCUGCCCGUCUUUUCCAUGGUGCCCACAGACCCAUUUAGGAUGAAAGAUCAGAAAAUUCUCUCCAUGUCACCGCUUCUGAAACAUGUGAAUAUUAAUAUUUGGUGCCUAAAAGGCCAUGGCAAAUUUUCAUUGGUUUUAUCUUAUUCAUGAUUAUAGAGUUGAAAGAAUACAUAUUCCCAUGGGGAUCAAUGAAGACAUUCUCAUUUUGAAUGAAGUAGAAUAUAAGUUGUAAAGAUAUAGAAUUUUCCUGAACUGAACCUUGAACCAAAAAUCCCCUCAAUUAACCUGGAACUAAACACAGUCCCUGAAGAUAACAAGGAGUUUCAGGAUGCCACAGGGCUGUCUGUGCAGUAUGGGGCUUCUUGCUCUAUCUCUGGUAUCUGAGGCAGAUAGGCUACUCAGGCCCCUCUCUGGUCUCAAGGUGGGCUGGCUGAGAUGUCAGUUUCUUCCUCAGUGACAGCUUGGGUACAGUAUGUGUAAACUGAUUGUCAGCUGAGCUGAAGGGACUCUGCCCAUAUUGGAGUGUUCUACAAGAAGAGGUGUCAAACCUAAAGGUCUAAAAUUACUAUGAAAGGAGUAUUGGAAACCACUGGGACAAUUGUGAUCACAACUGGUGGUAGCCUUCUCGUUUGGGUGAGAAAGACAGAAAGGAGGAAGAUGUGUUAGUCAAGGUUCUCUAGAGGGACAAAACUAAUAGGAUAUAUGUAUAUAUGAGAGGGAGUUUAUUAAGGAGAAUUGACUCACUUGAUCACAAGGUAAAGUCCCAAGAUAGGCUGUCUGCAAGUUGAGGAGCAAGGAAGUCAUUGGUGGAUUGUUCUGGGUACCAAAACCUCAAAAGUAGGGAAAUCGACAGUGCAGCCUUCAGUCUGUGGUCAAAGGCUCGAGGGGCCCUGGCAGACCACUGGUGUAAGUCCAAGAGUCCCAGAAGCUGAAGAACUUGGAGUCUGAUGUUUGAGGGCAGGAAGCAUCCAGCACAGGAGAAAGACGGAUGCUGGAAGACUUAGCAAGUCUGUUCUUUCCAAUUUCUUCUGCCUGCUUUUAUUCUAGCCAUGCUGGCAGCUGAUUAGAUGGUGCCCUCCCAAAUUGAGGGUGGCUGUGCCUCUCCCAGUCCACUGACUCAAAUGUUAAUCUCCUUUGGCAACACCCUCACAGACACACCCAGGAACAAUACUUUGCAUCCUUCAUUCCAAUCAAGUUGACACUCAAUAUUAACCAUCACAGAAGGAGAAUUUCAGGCUGAGUCCAAACACUAUGGCCCCAGCCCCAGCUUCCCCUUUCUGGGUUGAAUAACCAGACUGAGCCUAAGAAAAGGAAAAGAGUUGACUUUCUCCCAAAAGGCCUGCAGCGGGUUAGAAAGCAAUGGUUUGGGGACCAUACUGAGUGCCUAGGAUGCUCUGGACCACAAAGCUUGAAGUCAAAUUGUUCAUGCACUUGUUUCAUGAUAGGAAGAGAGAGAGAGAGAGAGAGAGAGAGAGAGAAAUUUCCUUUCCUUGAAGAAUGGCAAAACACGUCUCUUGUUCUGGGGGCUAUAUCUUGAAGGGUAUCUGAUCUCCCCCUCAUGGGAGGAACUAGAAUGCCCUAAGGCAGCCGUGGCUCCUGGAGCUGAGAGAUCUUUCUGACACUUUGUGAGAGCUGCAAGGCUAAGUCUGGAGCCAGAAAAGUCCAUGUGGACAAGUGCAGAGCAAGCAGAUCUGAGACACAUGUGGGAGCAAGCUGGACAUGUCCAAAAGUCAGAGGAAGCAAGAGCAGACAUGCAUGAGCAGGCAGAUGAGGCUGGUGCCCAGGCAGCAGGCUGAGGCUCUGGCUGGGCUUUGGAUGCUCCUGAGAGUCCAGUUAGAGACCAGUGAGCAAACCCACAGUGAACUCUUAUUCCUCACGCAGCAGGACGAGGGAUUAAGCACAAAGCCUUAAAGGUCUGAGUGUCUCUUUAUCCUGACCUCAGGAAAGAGAGGCAAGUAUCAUGUUUCUAAAAGUCUGAGAAGUCUUCACAUGACAGCCUACACCAAAAGAACUCAAAUGCACAUCCACUGCAUACACGCAUGUGUGCACACAUAUACAUGUGUACACAUGCAUGCCCACACACAACCCUCUGGAAGAGGAAGUAAAGAGACUUUAUGUUUUCAGCCCCUCUUGAGGAAACUUAAACUAAGUCUUUCUGUGGGGUUAGUGGUGGAGACAGAGAGGGUCUGGGGUCACCGAGGCCGAGGUGGCUGGACCCAGAGGGUAGAGCUGAGGGGAUCCCCUGAGACUGGGAAGAUGGAGCAGAAGCAGAUGGCAGAUGGCAGCAGGUGAGAGCAGACUGGAUUUCUCCUAAAUCACCAGAUCCAGCCAACCUUUCUUUCCUUAGGGACACCUCUAGAUCCCAUUCCAAAUGAACUCUUUCUCUGACCUUUCACCUCAAUUCAGAAUUUGGGAAAUUUAGCCAUGAUCUUAGGAACACAGAGGCUUGAAACAAUCUUUUCUAACCACCCGUUUGUUCAGACUGUGUAAGUUCUGCUUCUGCAUCCAGUGUCAACACCCAAGAACCAUUUUAAAGGGGAGCCAUCCUUUGAAAUUAAACUUCUUUUAAUAAUAAAGACAGAUUUCAGGGUUGACAUAAAAGAUAGCCACAGUAAAGCCAAUCCUCCAGUGUAUAACAUUUUUCAAAGUUUCCUUCCUCUUCAUUGCUGGUGUUCAUGUACAGUCCAGAGUUAGUCUACAUUAAAUUAUAGAUUGUUUUCAGCAAUAAUGCAAACAUUUGGAAGCCUUCAAACUCUCUGAUAACUAACUUCUACAUUCUCUCUGCUAUUAUUAUAUAGAAAGGGAAAUUUUACCUGAUGCUGUUAAAGUCCUCACGAACAUAGUGAUCCGAAUUGGCUGAAGUGGAAAACUAAAUGUUAGCUGAUUUUCAAAACAAGAUUUCCACUCUGAAUUCCCAUUUUUCACAUGUGAUCAUAUGCCUUGUUGUGAAGUUGAACUAAAAAGAAACUCCAUGCCCACUGGCUUAAUGCUAGAAGAUAAUCUACAGCAUAGUAAUUUCUUAGACUUCACUUUAUUAGCCACUAAACUUGGAAUGAUUAUUUCUAUGUUCAAUUAUUAAGUCUAUAUCUCCAUUUCUUAAAAAGGUCUGAGGCAGCCCCUUUGAAUAUUAAUACGCAUUUAUUUUCACCUCUCAAAUAAAAAAAUAGUUCACAGU